ACUUCGGUGGGGAUUAGUGGCGAACGGGUGAGUAACACGUGGGCAAUCUGCCCUUCACUCUGGGACAAGCCCUGGAAACGGGGUCUAAUACCGGAUACUGACCCUCGCAGGCAUCUGCGAGGUUCGAAAGCUCCGGGGUGAAGGAUGAGCCCGCGGCCUAUCAGCUUGUUGGUGAGGUAAUGGCUCACCAAGGCGACGACGGGUAGCCGGCCUGAAGGGCACCGGCCACACUGGGACUGAGACACGGCCCAGACUCCUACGGGAGGCAGCAGUGGGGAAUAUUGCACAAUGGGCAAAGCCUGAUGCAGCGACGCCGCGUGAGGGAUGACGGCCUUCGGGUUGUAAACCUCUUCAGCAGGGAAGAAGCGAAAGUGACGGUACCUGCAGAAGAAGCGCCGGCUAACUACGUGCCAGCGCCGCGGUAAUACGUAGGGCGCAAGCGUUGUCCGGAAUUAUUGGGCGUAAAGAGCUCGUAGGCGGCUUGUCACGUCGGUUGUGAAAGCCCGGGGCUUAACCCCGGGUCUGCAGUCGAUACGGGCAGGCUAGAGUUCGGUAGGGAAUCGGAAUUCCUGGUGUAGCGGUGAAAUGCGCAGAUAUCAGGAGGAACACCGGUGGCGAAGGCGGAUCUCUGGGCCGAUACUGACGCUGAGGAGCGAAAGCGUGGGGAGCGAACAGGAUUAGAUACCCUGUAGUCCACGCCGUAAACGGUGGGCACUAGGUGUGGGCAACAUUCCACGUUGUCCGGCCGCAGCUAACGCAUUAAGUGCCCCGCCUGGGGAGUACGGCCGCAAGGCUAAAACUCAAAGGAAUUGACGGGGCCCGCACAAGCGGCGGAGCAUGUGGCUUAAUUCGACGCAACGCGAAGAACCUUACCAAGGCUUGACAUACACCGGAAAGCAUCAGAGAUGGUGCCCCCCUUGUGGUCGGUGUACAGGUGGUGCAUGGCUGUCGUCAGCUCGUGUCGUGAGAUGUUGGGUUAAGUCCCGCAACGAGCGCAACCCUUGUCCCGUGUUGCCAGCAAGCCCUUCGGGUGUUGGGGACUCACGGGAGACCGCCGGGGUCAACUCGGAGGAAGGUGGGGACGACGUCAAGUCAUCAUGCCCCUUAUGUCUUGGGCUGCACACGUGCUACAAUGGCCGGUACAAUGAGCUGCGAUACCGCAAGGUGGAGCGAAUCUCAAAGCCGGUCUCAGUUCGGAUUGGGGUCUGCAACUCGACCCCAUGAAGUCGGAGUCGCUAGUAAUCGCAGAUCAGCAUUGCUGCGGUGAAUACGUUCCCGGGCCUUGUACACACCGCCCGUCACGUCACGAAAGUCGGUAACACCCGAAGCCGGUGGCCAACCCCUUGUGGGAGGGAGCUGUCGAAGGUGGACUGGCGAUUGGGACGAAGUCG
rnacentral:rRNA from 1 species